GCCAGACUCCUACGGGAGGCAGCAGUGGGGGAUAUUGCACAAUGGGGGAAACCCUGAUGCAGCAACGCCGCGUGAGUGAAGAAGUAUUUCGGUAUGUAAAGCUCUAUCAGCAGGGAAGAGAAUGACGGUACCUGACUAAGAAGCCCCGGCUAACUACGUGCCAGCAGCCGCGGUAAUACGUAGGGGGCGAGCGUUAUCCGGAUUUACUGGGUGUAAAGGGAGCGUAGACGGCUGGUCAAGUCUGAAGUGAAAGCCCGGGGCUUAACCCCGGAACGGCUUUGGAAACUGAGCAGCUAGAGUGCUGGAGAGGUAAGCGGAAUUCCUAGUGUAGCGGUGAAAUGCGUAGAUAUUAGGAGGAACACCAGUGGCGAAGGCGGCUUACUGGACAGUAACUGACGUUGAGGCUCGAAAGCGUGGGGAGCAAACAGGAUUAGAUACCCUAGUAAC
rnacentral:rRNA from 1 species